CUGAAGCAGAAUCUGAUAUAUGGUAAAAAAAAAAUAUUUAAUUGUAGUAAACUAUUUCUAUACAGAAAUCUAUUUCUCUCUGCUAUCUAGUAUUCCUGAAGUCCCAAUUUAUGUAAACCAAUGCUGGCUUUGGAGUUGGAUUUGGCUUUCCUUCUCUAAAUUCAAGCAUGUUGUUAAGAUUAAACUCAUGGUUUCUGCCUUAAAUCAAGAAGCCAAUUGGUGUAAGGCAAAAUAAAACAAAAUCUGGGGACUCAUUUCUUAUAUGUAAUUUUCUCUCUGAAAUCCUAAUUUUCUCACAUACUUUUAAUGCUUAUUGUCUUUCCCUAAUGCAUACCUUAAAACUUGAAAAUUUUACUUUAAUAUUGAUGUGUAACUUUUCCACAAGGAAUAAUAACGAUUUCUAACAGCAGUCUUUGAACUCUCUGGAAAGAAGAUGGGGCCCCACAUCAUCGUUUCCACUUGACUCAACCUGAUGCAUCUGAACUAUAAACAUCACCCUAAAACCGGUUUGAGACUGUUUUGCUCAAGACAACUCAUGACUAGCUAGCUGUAAUGGGUGCACCUUUUUAUUACACCCUGGCCAGAGUUUCAAAUAGAACUACAGUCAAGAAUUUUCUGCCACACAGAGACUAGCUACAUAUGUCACAGCCAGUUCUGUUGAGAAAUUUGGUUGCUAAAAAUUUUUCUUCCUACAGGAUCCAUUGGAGCAAUCAUCGUCCCAUUUCAGCAGGAAGUAACCUUAAGAUAAUGACGCCCCCUUUCCCUAUCCUUGGAAUUUUGGGAUAAUAGUCAUCGUCUUUGGGUUGGUUUUAGUUAUUUAGGGUUGGGUAUGGAAGGUGAUGCUUACACUUGGGUUUAUCUUUUAGACAGGAAUAGGGAAUGGUUGGGAAAGGUAUGGUUUAGAUGGGAUAUAGGUAGAUUAGCCUAUUUUCUUGUGAAUUUGAGUAAGAAUGAGAUAGUAUUUUACAGAUUACAUUGUUAUGUAUUCUUAUAUGUGGUAAGCUAUGUAAAAUUAAGUUUAUAUUUUGUUAUAUUGUGUGAAAUAUUUCCACUUACGAUGUUUUAUGCACAUUAUUUUUACCAUAUUCUAUGUAUGUAUACUUUUCUUGUAUUCAAGACAUUUGUAUAUUGAUACAAUUUGGGAUAUUUAUCAUACUGCCCUUUAUAGUUCUACCUCUUGUCUUGACAUUUCUACUCUACCUCUAUUUUAGGGAUUUAUAUGUAUGUAUAUAGUUACAUUGUUUAAGUAUUUGUUCCUGCUUUACUCAGGGAAGUUUUAAUCAGUCUUUUAGCUAAGUUCCUGAGUAUUACAGAUUACCUUCACUCAUAUUUCCUGUACCUAUGAGAUUAGUCAGAUAUAGAUGCUUAAUCUUCAGUCACUUCAUAGACGUGCAGAACAUGACAUUUAAAUGUUUUAAUAUUAGUACUCCAUUGACAUGAGACACUGUUGCUCCUGACAGCACCGUGCACUUUCCCGAAAAUAUGUUGGACACUGUUGAUGCUCCUGCUGGAGUUCAUUCUCGCCUCAGCUAAUGGCCUGUUGGGCAAAGAAUUGCCCCCACCUUGACCACUGAUUUGGACAUGCAGUCCUAUGUGCUUGCAGCAGACACAUGUAGAAGACUGCUGGACCUUGCCAAGUCAGGCUCAGCCCACGCUAUUGGGAGUGGACGGAAAGACCCUUCUGGAGAAGAUGCAGAUUUCAGCCUCUGCCAGUGUCUGAGCACAAAGCUGUUCUGGAGGAGAUUGUUUUCGAGAAGAAAGACAAGUAGUUCCAGGAUGAGGUUUGCGUGCCCUCCAGCCAGCUUCUUCUGCAGUCUCCUCGUGGGAAAAGUAAUAUAUAUAUAAUAAAAGCUUACAAA